GUCAUAAACCUUGUGUCAAAAUUUCAUAGAUUUCUAUUAACUUAAACUAAAGUUAUAGUGCGAAAACCAAGAAAAUGCUUAUUUGGGCCCUUUUUGGCCCCUAAUUCCUAAAAUGUUGGGACCAAAACUCCCAAAAUCAAUACCAACCUUCCUUUUGUGGUCAUAAACCUUGUGUUGAAAUUUCAUAGAUUUCCAUUCACUUUUACUAAAGUUAGAGUGCGAAAACUAAAAGUAUUCGGACGCCGGACGACGACGACGACGACGACGACGACGACGACGACGCCGACGCCAACGUGAUAGCAAUAUACGACGAAAAAUUUUUCAAAUUUUGCGGUCGUAUAAAAAGGCCUGACAAAACUGAAAUGUAAUGAAACUGCUUGUAGGCUGUUCUUCUUUUCAUGGCUCCCUCCAUCAAUAAAAACUGACCGCAAUGAAAUAGCACAAGUGUUGAAAGUGGCUUUGUGAUCAUUCAAUCUUCAUCUCAUGGUCUUAGAAUGCCUUCCAACAUAAAGCAAAAGCUCAUACCUAAUUGUUAGUUCAAGACAGUAUCUGGAAACUGUUUAAGCUUUAUUUUUUGCACAAAGAAAAAAAGAUCUCAUUGUAUGUGACAAAAAUAAAACCUACAUCAGUUUAAUGAACAUUUACAAUAUGUUCAGCUCAAAAUGCUUGGAUGCUACAACUAUACUUAGACAACCACUGACUUGGUUCUAGGCAUUGGACAAACAUCAAAAAAUGUGCCUAUUUGAACUAUUUGUAUUGCACUCAAAUUUCUCGUUGUAUUCUUGAUCAGUGGAAGGACAGACAUAAGGUACAUAGAAACAAAUCAAAACUCUACAAUACUGGUAAAGCAGACUACAAACACCCCAGAAAACAAAAAUUGUCAAUCAGACACCAUGUCAAGCUCACACUCGUCUUUUUUUUUUCUAUUUUGUUAAAAAAACAAACCUUUAUUUGGCUUGUUUACAUUAAGAUGAACACAUGUACUAUGUUUCUUAUUGAUGUGACCAUAACCAUAGGUUUAUGGCAAACUACAUCAACCUUAAUCAAAAACCUAAAACCUGAUGCAGGACAAAACUGAGUAUGCACAUACCAAAAA
rnacentral:lncRNA from 1 species